CUACGGGAGGCAGCAGUGGGGAAUAUUGCACAAUGGGGGAAACCCUGAUGCAGCGACGCCGCGUGAGCGAUGAAGGCCUUCGGGUCGUAAAGCUCUGUCUUAAGGGAAGAUAAUGACGGUACCUUAGGAGGAAGCCCCGGCUAACUACGUGCCAGCAGCCGCGGUAAUACGUAGGGGGCGAGCGUUGUCCGGAAUUACUGGGCGUAAAGGGUGCGCAGGCGGUCUUGUAAGUCAGAUGUUAAAGCCCUCGGCUUAACCGAGGUAAGCAUUUGAAACUGCAGGGCUUGAGUGCAGGAGAGGAGAGUGGAAUUCCUAGUGUAGCGGUGAAAUGCGUAGAUAUUAGGAGGAACACCAGUGGCGAAGGCGACUCUCUGGA
rnacentral:rRNA from 1 species